rnacentral:rRNA from 1 species
GACGAACGCUGGCGGCGUGCUUAACACAUGCAAGUCGAACGGAAAGGCCCUGCUUGCAGGGUACUCGAGUGGCGAACGGGUGAGUAACACGUGGGUGAUCUGCCCUGCACUUCGGGAUAAGCUUGGGAAACUGGGUCUAAUACCGGAUAGGACCGCACUUUAUUGUGUGUGGUGGAAAGUUUUUUCGGUGUAGGAUGAGCUCGCGGCCUAUCAGCUUGUUGGUGGGGUAAUGGCCUACCAAGGCGGCGACGGGUAGCCGGCCUGAGAGGGUGUACGGCCACAUUGGGACUGAGAUACGGCCCAGACUCCUACGGGAGGCAGCAGUGGGGAAUAUUGCACAAUGGGCGCAAGCCUGAUGCAGCGACGCCGCGUGGGGGAUGAAGGCCUUCGGGUUGUAAACUCCUUUCGCUAGGGACGAAGCUUUGUUGUGACGGUACCUAGAUAAGAAGCACCGGCUAACUACGUG